GCUGGCACCACGCAUGUGCUGCGCACCCGGGGGGCACUGCAUUGGGGACCACUGGGGUAGGGGAUAUAGAUGUAAAAGGGGACUGUGUUGCCCGAUUUGAUGAUUCAAGGACUCACUGAUCCGUAGUAAUGAGAGCUCAUUGUUGGUAAAAUGGUCUCAGGCAGUGAUGGAAGGUUGUGUUUGGAUGCACUGGAUCUUUGGGCUGGACGCUCAGACUCCCGCCCAAGACUUUAAAUCUGCUGUUUGUGUGAAGUGGGUUGAGUGUUAGAGGACUGGCUGUGUUGAGUCCUUCUGUUGGGACAUUACUUGGGCCUGUUAUCGUAUGGCCUCUGCUGUUGCCUGUGGUAGUUCAAGUCUCUUGGUCUCCGGUACAGGAUAUGUCUUUGGUUAGGCGGGGUGUACAUGCCUAAAGUACAGUGUGCUGCAGGAAUCUUUCAUUGAAUGGAACACCUCAUCUGUUUUUGUGGCAAACAGUUGGUUCCUAUCAAAGGGGAGGUCCCCCACCUUAGUCUGAAAUUCUUUUGGGACUCCUGAUGAAUAUAACCACAAUGCUCUGCAAAUUACUAUUGCUGAAGCUGUGGCCUUAGCUGCUGUAUCCGCCACAUCCAUUGCAGCCUAGAGGGCAAUUUUUGCUAUGGAUUGGCCCUCUUUGAUGCUAGACUAGAGAUGUGGUUUCUUAUUUUCAGGAAGGUCCUGUAAGAGAUAUUGUAAUCUAGAGUAAUUGGCAUGAUCGUAGUUAGCCAGAAAGGCAGUGUAAUUUGAUAUUCUGAACUGGAGUGUGGCAGAGGAGUAUACUUUCCAGCCAAAGACCUGCUCGUGGUAUUGAGGUGUAGAUUUGAAUUGGGGGUAUUUUGCUUUAUGAUGAACCGAGUUAAUGACCAGUGAAUUUGGGUGGGGAUGUAAGAAGAGAAAAUCCAUCUUUUUCGCUGGGACAAAGUAUUUUCUGUCUACUCUCUGGUUGAUGGGGGGGGAUAGAGUCUGGUGUUUAUCAGAGUACAUCCGAUGACUCCAAGAUGGGCUCAUUGAUGGGUAAUGCUAUCGUUGAGGAUGCAGCCAGUUGUAGUACUGUAAGUAAUUUGUAUUGUUUAUCUUGCACUUCUUGGAAUGUAAUGUCUUGAGAUUGAACCACUCGUCUGAAUAGUUCUUAGAAUUGUUUCAGCUCAUCUGCUGGUGGAGAGAGAAACACCUGGAAAACUGCCUUGUCUAGACCAGCGAGAGACUGAGGAGCGUGUGAAGAGCUCUCUGAGUAGGAGUGAGAAGGGAGAGCACUGCUGUGACUCCAUCGUCAGCCGAGGACGGCAGAAAAGGAACUGAGGGAGGCUCGCACCACACAUGCACCUAACAGACAACAGCACAAGAUGGGGAGUGCACGAGUGGCGCAGGACGCACUGCUAGGCAAAAAUCUCCUAUCCACAGCGCCAGGACGCACCGAGGCCUGAGUGGAGAACCUGUAGAGACAUCACCUGAAGAACCAGUCAGCAUGCUAGGAGUUCCCAUGGGGGGAGGAACCUUAGGCCCAGGGGCCAGAUGUAGUCCCCAGCUUGCCUGGAUCCAGCCCUCAAGGUUCACUGUCUCCCCCCAGCAUUCUAGAGCCCACAGGGCUGGAGCACCCAAAAUCUCCUGGGGGGGCAGUCUCUGGUGUGCAAAGGGAAUACGGGGAGUCUUCCUCCUUGCAGCACCUUAAAGACUAACAAAACAUGCAGAUGGUAUCAUGAGCUUUCAUGGGCACAAUCCACUUCUUCAGAGGUGCCCCACCCUGAAUUACCCUGAAGCUAUGAUCCUCAGAGACUACCCGUACCAGUAAAUAACUUUCCAUCAUUCCUUAUGUGGUGAUGUUGCUAAACCUACGCUCAACUUAAUGGCCCCCCAGCCAGAAAUUGUGUUUUAAAUAAACUGAGUAGCAAUCCACAAAUCUCAUACAACCAAUUCAGCAUGGUAUCCUGUCUCCUGCAGAGGCUGACAACUUUAUUUUUCAAAAAAGACUACACACGAAUAUUACUGAUUUAAAAUAGGAUUUUCUGCAACCAUCACCACCAAGGACCUCAAGAUCUUCAUCUUCCCUCCCAACAGUUAAGGUGUGAACUCCUGCAUUGCAGUUUCAUUAUGAACUAGUCAGUAGUUGGUGUAUAUAACCCACCUAGGAGAGAAUGACCAACUGCAUAAACAGGAGAGUUUUGGCUCAUUGUAUUUCAAUGGGUCUUUAAACCACAUGUCCUAGAACAACAUGGAUAGAAAGAAGAGGAAGAGUGAAUAGCUGGGCAAUAGCAAGAUGAGCUGUAGGACCCAGUUUAUGGCCAGAACCACAAACUGCUAACUGGUAAGUCAAGUGGAAAUUUUAGUUUCCAAUUUUCCAGCUCUCUGAAGGUAUAGUGUUCCAAAUAAAACAUUGGCUUUCUUUCAGGAUGUCUAUGUCAACACAUCUGUCAGCAACCCAUAAACAGUUUUGAUAUGUGUCCACCUUUGACCUCAGGCACUCCGCAUGCACAUAAGGAGUUCUGUGACAAAACCACACAUUAGAAUUCCUGCAUGCAGAAUUGCAAUGUAUCCACAAGCAGAAGGGCUAGAUCAACACUGAAAAUGAACACAAGACACUAGAUCUUGUAAAGCAGAAUUAAAGGGCUGACCUGCCUCCAAGCCUUGUGUUUCACAAAUAACGCAAGGAGCUCUGUAGUUAAUGACCCUAUGAAAUCAGGGAGAUGACCUACCC